GUGCUUACCUCGGCAGCACAUACCCUCAAAUUGGAAUGAUGUAGAGAAGAUCAGCCCGGCCCUGUGCAAGGGUGAUAUGCACAUUCAUGAAGUAUUCCAUAUUUCG
ensembl:snRNA U6 U6 spliceosomal RNA